GCCUCUAGAUAGAAAAUAGGUGCCCGUACCGCAAACCGACACAGGUAGUCAAGAUGAGAAUUCUAAGGUGAGCGAGCGAACUCUCGUUAAGGAACUCGGCAAAAUGACCCCGUAACUUCGGGAGAAGGGGUGCUCUUUAGGGUUAACGCCCAGAAGAGCCGCAGUGAAUAGGCCCAAGCGACUGUUUAUCAAAAACACAGGUCUCUGCUAAACCGUAAGGUGAUGUAUAGGGGCUGACGCCUGCCCGGUGCUGGAAGGUUAAGAGGAGUGGUUAGCUUCUGCGAAGCUACGAAUCGAAGCCCCAGUAAACGGCGGCCGUAACUAUAACGGUCCUAAGGUAGCGAAAUUCCUUGUCGGGUAAGUUCCGACCCGCACGAAAGGCGUAACGAUUUGGGCACUGUCUCAACGAGAGACUCGGUGAAAUCAUAGUACCUGUGAAGAUGCAGGUUACCCGCGACAGGACGGAAAGACCCCGUGGAGCUUUACUGUAGCCUGAUAUUGAAAUUCGGCACAGCUUGUACAGGAUAGGUAGGAGCCUUUGAAACGUGAGCGCUAGCUUACGUGGAGGCGCUGGUGGGAUACUACCCUAGCUGUGUUGGCUUUCUAACCCGCACCACUUAUCGUGGUGGGAGACAGUGUCAGGCGGGCAGUUUGACUGGGGCGGUCGCCUCCUAAAAGGUAACGGAGGCGCUCAAAGGUUCCCUCAGAAUGGUUGGAAAUCAUUCAUAGAGUGUAAAGGCAUAAGGGAGCUUGACUGCGAGACCUACAAGUCGAGCAGGGUCGAAAGACGGACUUAGUGAUCCGGUGGUUCCGCAUGGAAGGGCCAUCGCUCAACGGAUAAAAGCUACCCCGGGGAUAACAGGCUUAUCUCCCCCAAGAGUUCACAUCGACGGGGAGGUUUGGCACCUCGAUGUCGGCUCAUCGCAUCCUGGGGCUGUAGUCGGUCCCAAGGGU
rnacentral:rRNA from 1 species